rnacentral:rRNA from 1 species
AUUGAACGCUGGCGGCAGGCCUAACACAUGCAAGUCGAGCGGAUGAAGGGAGCUUGCUCCUGGAUUCAGCGGCGGACGGGUGAGUAAUGCCUAGGAAUUUGCCUGGUAGUGGGGGAUAACGUCCGGAAACGGGCGCUAAUACCGCAUACGUCCUGAGGGAGAAAGUGGGGGAUCUUCGGACCUCACGCUAUCAGAUGAGCCUAGGUCGGAUUAGCUAGUUGGUGGGGUAAAGGCCUACCAAGGCGACGAUCCGUAACUGGUCUGAGAGGAUGAUCAGUCACACUGGAACUGAGACACGGUCCAGACUCCUACGGGAGGCAGCAGUGGGGAAUAUUGGACAAUGGGCGAAAGCCUGAUCCAGCCAUGCCGCGUGUGUGAAGAAGGUCUUCGGAUUGUAAAGCACUUUAAGUUGGGAGGAAGGGCAGUAAGUUAAUACCUUGCUGUUUUGACGUUACCAACAGAAUAAGCACCGGCUAACUUCGUG